rnacentral:tRNA from 1 species
GGGCCCAUAGCUCAGUGGUUAGAGCGGACGACUCAUAAUCGUUUGGUCGCUGGUUCGACUCCAGCUGGGCCCA